GAUGAAGAACGCAGCGAAAUGCGAUAAGUAAUGUGAAUUGCAGAAUUCAGUGAAUCAUCGAGUCUUUGAACGCACAUUGCGCCCCCUGGUAUUCCGGGGGGCAUGCCUGUCCGAGCGUCAUUGCUGCCCUCAAGCACGGCUUGUGUGUUGGGCCGCCGUCCCCGGUUUCCCCCGGGGACGGGCCCGAAAGGCAGCGGCGGCACCGCGUCCGAUCCUCGAGCGUAUGGGGCUUUGUCACCCGCUCUGUAGGCCCGGCCGGCGCCAGCCGACACCCAACUUUAUUUCUAAGGUUGACCUCGGAUCAGGUAGAGAUACCCGCUGAACUUAAGCAUAUAAUAAGCGGAGGA
rnacentral:misc_RNA from 1 species